rnacentral:rRNA from 1 species
AAGAGAUGGCGACCGGCGCACGGGUGAGUAACACGUAUCCAACCUGCCGAUAACUCCGGAAUAGCCUUUCGAAAGAAAGAUUAAUACCGGAUGGCAUACGAAUAUCGCAUGAUAUUUUUAUUUAAGGAAUUUCGGUUAUCGAUGGGGAUGCGUUCCAUUAGUUUGUUGGCGGGGUAACGGCCCACCAAGACUACGAUGGAUAGGGGUUCUGAGAGGAAGGUCCCCCACAUUGGAACUGAGACACGGUCCAA